UACGUAGGGCGCAAGCGUUUGUCCGGAAUUAUUGGGCGUAAAGAGCUCGUAGGCGGUUUGUCGCGUCUGUCGUGAAAGCUUGGGGCUUAACCCCAAGUCUGCGGUGGAUACGGGCAGACUAGAGGCAGGUAGGGGAGAACGGAAUUCCCGGUGUAGCGGUGAAAUGCGCAGAUAUCGGGAGGAACACCGGUGGCGAAGGCGGUUCUCUGGGCAUCUCCUGACGCUGAGGCGCGAAAGCUAGGGGAGCGAACGGG
rnacentral:rRNA from 1 species